rnacentral:rRNA from 1 species
CUGAAUAACUACGCAGAUCGCACGGUCUCGUACCGGCGACAUAUCCUUCAAGUGUCUGCCUUAUCAACUGUCGAAGGUAGUUUAUAUGACUACCUUGGUGGUAACGGGUAACGGAGUAUUCGGGUACGACUCCGGAGAGGGAGCCUGAGAAACGGCUACCACAUCCAAGGAAGGCAGCAGGCGCGCAAAUUACCCACUCUCAGCUCGAGGAGGUAGUGACGAAAAAUAACGAGACAGUUCUCUAUGAGGUCUGUCAUCGGAAUGGGUACAAUCUAAACCCUUUAACGAGGAUCAAUUGGAGGGCAAGUCUGGUGCCAGCAGCCGCGGUAAUUCCAGCUCCAAUAGCGUAUACUAAAGUUGUUGCGGUUAAAAAG